rnacentral:lncRNA from 1 species
AUAAAUUGAAUAGGUUAUACAUGUUGGACUUGGAAAUUGAAUUAGGAGAAAACCUACGAUUUGGACCUGUCACUUGAUUAAACUGCCUGAUUUCGCUCCAGGAGCCGUUAUUAAAUUGUACUGUCGCGGUAUUUUCGAGACGAGUACUCCAGGUAGUUUGGAGUAUAUCUACACUCGUGCUGUUUCGCCGAGGGGAUUUUACAGGGUCGUUCAGGCUGUUCCGGACUGUAGGGUGCCGUUGAGGUUGACGGUGGACCCGUAUCGCCUAUUUGGCGUCUGAUUGUGCCGAGGGCACGUUACUUGUUGGUUGUUAGACCAGUUAGAGUCGAUUUCUUGACUUUGGCUUUUCAGAGCCUAUUUGAGCUCGACAGAGAUACGCUGCAUACUCGGUUGGGUAGCGCCCACGAGUUCCACUCCGGAGUCAGGUUUUGUGCUUUCGCUUUGGUGUCGCUCAUGCCAGUUGAACUUGCUAUCCACGGACCAGUUAGUGUGGAUAAAGCCUGAUAGUCGCAACGGGGCAGGGACGGGUGUAUUCACAGUCCCGGGGAUGAGUAUGCUUACAGUCCCGAUUGGAUUGGGUCAGAGUUGACAUUUCCUACAGUUGGUUAGUGUAGAGCAUGAUAGUGUAGUGAUCGAUAGCGGUAGAGUUUAUUUCCUGCUUUUCUGACUACUCUUGCUCCCUUCUGUAGACUUAGUGGGUGGACCGAUGUUGUUUUGGGCGGUACCCACUGAGGACUACUUGUUUUUACAGUAGUUCUCACGCCCAGUUGUUACCUAUGUUUUUGCAGAGCCACAGGUUCCGGCUGCUGCACCGUCCGCGGACCAGGAUCGAGGCAAGGGCGUCGCGAGUUAGAGCCCUACCCGACGUGCUGAGCUAGAGGUGCCCCUACUGCAGGUAGAUGUUUUGUUUCGAGUUUAUGUACAUAGUUGACUUAACUCGCCAGUGCGAGUAGCUCUGUAUUUUAUUUUUGGACUAUGUAUAUGAAACUCAGUUUGUUUAGCUUCUAUUUUCUCUAGCAGCUCUCUACUACUGUUCGUAGUAGUGUUUGAUUUACAGGUAUAGCUGUCGCUUCGUAUACAGGGAAAAUUUCUUUGUAUACGGCGGAUUUGUCGGCGUGUCUGGGGAACGAGACAACCGGGGCGUGACAGAUUAAGUUGGUAUCAGAGCUUUGCUAUAGGUCGUUGGGACCUAGGAAACCUAAGUUUGGCAAACCUUAGGAAAGUAAGACGCGAGAGGCGUAAUUUAUUACGAAAGUCAAUGAUUAUCUGUUCUAACUCCUCCUAGAGUGGGGUGAGUGACUGAAGGAGUUCCUGUUUUGGCCUGAGAAAUUAUGUUGGCUGCAGACGGCAUAAUUUUGGAGGAAAACAGGGACCGCCUUCCAGACUUUCGUUCAUUGGGUCGAGAGUGUUGCGUUGUAUCUGACCCCGAUUUGUUCCUUUCAGCUAUGUAUCGUCGCCGAGGUCGACCGUCGUUGCGAGAGCGUGCCCAGUUGGCGCGGGAUCGUGCGGGAUCCCUUGAGAGACCUGAGCAGAUGGAGCAGAGUACUCGACAGGAGCAGGGUGACAGACCGGAGGCGAGUGCACCCCCUGUUAUGGAGCCGAGUGCGCGACCUGAG